rnacentral:rRNA from 1 species
UGGGCGAAAGCCUGAUGCAGCAACGCCGCGUGUGUGAUGAAGGCCUUCGGGUCGUAAAGCACUUUUCUGGGAGAUGAGAAAGGACAGUAUCCCAGGAAUAAGUCUCGGCUAACUACGUGCCAGCAGCCGCGGUAAAACGUAGGAGGCAAGCCGUUAUCCGGAUUCACUGGGCGUAAAGCGCGUGCAGGCGGUGCGGUAAGUUGGGCGUGAAAGCUCCCGGCUCAACUGGGAGAGGUCGUCCAAUACUACCGUACUUGAGAGCAGAAGAGGAAGAUGGAAUUCCCGGUGUAGUGGUGAAAUGCGUAGAUAUCGGGAGGAACACCAGUGGCGAAGGCGAUCUUCUGGUCUGUUUCUGACGCUCAGACGCGACAGCUAGGGUAGUAAACGGGAUUAGAGACCCCGGUAAUCCUAGCCGUAAACGAUGUGAACUUGGCGUUGGUGGGUUAAACUCCAUCAGUGCCGUAGCAAACGCGAUAAGUUCACCGCCUGGGGACUACGGCCGCAAGGUUA